GCGGACGUGGUGAAAUUGGUAGACACGUUAGAUUUAGGAUCUAAUAAGUAUAACUUGUGAGAGUUCGAGUCUCUCCGUCCGCA
rnacentral:tRNA from 1 species